UACGUAGGGUGCGAGCGUUGUCCGGAAUUACUGGGCGUAAAGAGCUCGUAGGUGGUUUGUCGCGUUGUUCGUGAUAACUCACAGCUCAACUGUGGGCGUGCGGGCGAUACGGGCAGACUGGAGUACUGCAGGGGAGACUGGAAUUCCUGGUGUAGCGGUGGAAUGCGCAGAUAUCAGGAGGAACACCGGUGGCGAAGGCGGGUCUCUGGGCAGUAACUGACGCUGAGGAGCGAAAGCGUGGGGAGCAAACAGG
rnacentral:rRNA from 1 species